GAUGAACGCUAGCUACAGGCCUAAUACAUGCAAGUCGCGGGGCCGGACGGGGGGUUUGUUCAUCCGCCGUUGGCGGCCGGCGGACGGGUGACACAUGCAUAACCUACCUGUCCGUCUGCGCGAACUAAGCCGGAGCGAGUCUGACACAUGACGAUUUAUUGACCUUCAUGGCUCCCUAGUUGGACGCAAUGUUUGGGGGCGUAAGGGUUGGGGUUGCGCCGGAUUGGCUUGAGGGCGGGGUAACGGCCCACCGUGGCUACGAUCGGUAGGGGUCCUGAGAGGAAGGUCCCCCACACUGGAGCUGAGACACGGUCCAGACUCCUACGGGAGGCAGCAGUGAGGAAUAUUGGUCAAUGGGCGUAAGCCUGAACCAGCCAAGUAGCGUGCAGGAGGACGGCCCUAUGGGUUGUAAACUGCUUUUAUGCGGGGAUAAAGUGGCCCACGUGUGGGCUUUUGCAGGUACCGCAUGAAUAAGGACCGGCUAAUUCCGUG
rnacentral:rRNA from 1 species